UGAUCUAGCUUGCUMGAUUGAUGGCGAGUGGCGAACGGGUGAGUAAUACAUCGGAACGUGCCCUGUAGUGGGGGAUAACUAGUCGAAAGAUUAGCUAAUACCGCAUACGACCUGAGGGUGAAAGUGGGGGACCGCAAGGCCUCAUGCUAUAGGAGCGGCCGAUGUCUGAUUAGCUAGUUGGUGGGGUAAAGGCCCACCAAGGCGACGAUCAGUAGCUGGUCUGAGAGGACGAUCAGCCACACUGGGACUGAGACACGGCCCAGACUCCUACGGGAGGCAGCAGUGGGGAAUUUUGGACAAUGGGCGAAAGCCUGAUCCAGCAAUGCCGCGUGUGUGAAGAAGGCCUUCGGGUUGUAAAGCACUUUUGUCCGGAAAGAAAUGGCUCUGGUUAAUACCUGGGGUCGAUKAYGKUACCGGAAGAAUAAGGACCGGCUAACUACGUGCCAGCAGCCGCGGUAAUACGUAGGGUCCAAGCGUUAAUCGGAAUUACUGGGCGUAAAGCGUGCGCAGGCGGUUGUGCAAGACCGAUGUGAAAUCCCCGAGCUUAACUUGGGAAUUGCAUUG
rnacentral:rRNA from 1 species